rnacentral:rRNA from 1 species
UACGAAGGGGGCUAGCGUUGUUCGGAAUUACUGGGCGUAAAGGGCGCGUAGGCGGUACUUCAAGUCAGGCGUGAAAGCCCCGGGCUCAACCUGGGAACCGCGCUUGAGACUGGAGAACUAGAGUUCGGGAGAGGAUGGUGGAAUUCCCAGUGUAGAGGUGGAAUUCGUAGAUAUUCGCAAGAACACCAGUGGCGAAGGCGGCUCACUGGCCCGAUACCUGACGCUGAGGUGCGAAAGCGUGGGGAGCAAACAGG